UGCAGUCGAGGGGUAACAGAGAUAGCUUGCUAUUUGCUGACGACCGGCGCACGGGUGCGUAACGCGUAUACAAUCUACCUUUUGCUGAAGGAUAGCCCAGAGAAAUUUGGAUUAAUACUUCAUAGUAUGUUAGUAUGGCCUCAUACAAACAUUAAAGGUUACGGCAAAAGAUGAGUAUGCGUUCUAUUAGCUAGAUGGUAUGGUAACGGCAUACCAUGGCGACGAUAGAUAGGGGCCCUGAGAGGGGGAUCCCCCACACUGGUACUGAGACACGGACCAGACUCCUACGGGAGGCAGCAGUGAGGAAUAUUGGGCAAUGGAGGCAACUCUGACCCAGCCAUGCCGCGUGCAGGAAGACUGCCCUAUGGGUUGUAAACUGCUUUUAUACAGGAAGAAACACCUCUACGUGUAGAGGCUUGACGGUACUGUAAGAAUAAGGAUCGGCUAACUCCGUGCCAGCAGCCGCGGUAAUACGGAGGAUCCAAGCGUUAUCCGGAAUCAUUGGGUUUAAAGGGUCCGUAGGUGGAUAAUUAAGUCAGAGGUGAAAUCCUGCAGCUCAACUGUAGAAUUGCCUUUGAUACUGGUUAUCUUGAGUUAUUAUGAAGUAGUUAGAAUAUGUAGUGUAGCGGUGAAAUGCAUAGAUAUUACAUAGAAUACCAAUUGCGAAGGCAGAUUACUAAUAAUAUACUGACACUGAUGGACGAAAGCGUGGGUAGCGAACAGGAUUAGAUACCCUGGUAGUCCACGCCGUAAACGAUGGUCACUAGCUGUUUGGACUUCGGUCUGAGUGGCUAAGCGAAAGUGAUAAGUGACCCACCUGGGGAGUACGUUCGCAAGAAUGAAACUCAAAGGAAUUGACGGGGGCCCGCACAAGCGG
rnacentral:rRNA from 1 species